GCCAGCAUGGUAUAGUGGUUAGAGUGUUGGACUAGAGCUCCGGAGACCAGGGUUCAAUUCCCCAGUUGGCC